ACUCCUACGGGAGGCAGCAGUGGGGAAUAUUGCACAAUGGAGGAAACUCUGAUGCAGCAACGCCGCGUGGAGGAUGACACUUUCGGAGCGUAAACUCCUUUAUAUAGGAAGAUAAUGACGGUACUAUAUGAAUAAGCACCGGCUAACUCCGUGCCAGCAGCCGCGGUAAUACGGAGGUGCAAGCGUUACUCGGAAUCACUGGGCGUAAAGAGCGUGUAGGCGGGUUAUUAAGUCAGAAGUGAAAUCCUAUGGCUCAACCAUAGAACUGCUUUUGAAACUGGUAACCUAGAGUAUGGGAGAGGUAGAUGGAAUUUCUGGUGUAGGGUAAAUACCGUAGAGAUCAGAAGGAAUACCGAUUGCGAAGCGAUCUACUGGAACAUUACUGACGCUGAGACGCGAAAGCGUGGGGAGCAAACAGGAUUAGAUACCCUGGUAGACUGUCA
rnacentral:rRNA from 1 species